rnacentral:SRP_RNA from 1 species
CUGGACUCCCCGUGCGGCGUCACCUCGGCUAACUCCCCCAGGAUCGAAAGAUAGCAAGGGUAACUGGGCUCUGACGGGUGUGCGGGGAGUCUUUUUA